GAUGAACGCUAGCGAUAGGCUUAACACAUGCAAGUCGAGGGGCAGCAUGGUCUUAGCUUGCUAAGACUGAUGGCGACCGGCGCACGGGUGCGUAACGCGUAUGCAACUUGCCUCACAGAGGGGGAUAACCCGUCGAAAGACGGACUAAUACCGCGUACACUUGGGAUAGGGCAUCCUGACCCAAGGAAAUGAAAUUCGCUGUGAGAUAGGCAUGCGUCCCAUUAGCUAGUUGGUGAGGUAACGGCUCACCAAGGCGACGAUGGGUAGGGGAACUGAGAGGGUGACCCCCCACACUGGUACUGCGACACGGACCAGACUCCUACGGGAGGCAGCAGUGAGGAAUAUUGGUCAAUGGGCGAGAGCCUGAACCAGCCAAGUCGCGUGAAGGAUGACUGUCUUAUGGAUUGUAAACUUCUUUUAUACGGGAAUAACAAGAGCCACGUGUGGCUCCCUGCAUGUACCGUAUGAAUAAGCAUCGGCUAACUCCGUG
rnacentral:rRNA from 1 species